CAGUAGCCGCGGGAAUACGUAGGUCCCGAGCGUUGUCCGGAUUUAUUGGGCGUAAAGCGAGCGCAGGCGGUUAGAUAAGUCUGAAGUUAAAGGCUGUGGCUUAACCAUAGUACGCUUUGGAAACUGUCUAACUUGAGUGCAAGAGGGGAGAGUGGAAUUCCAUGUGUAGCGGCGAAAUGCGUAGAUAUAUGGAGGAACACCGGUGGCGAAAGCGGCUCUCCGGCUUGUAACUGACACUGAGGCUCGAAAGCGUGGGGAGCAAACAGGAUUAGAUACCCGUGUAGUCCCUGUCUCUUAUACC
rnacentral:rRNA from 1 species